UACGUAGGGACCGAGCGUUGUCCGGAUUCAUUGGGCGUAAAGAGCUCGUAGGCGGCCACUCAAGUCGAAUGUGAAACCUCGAGGCUUAACCUCGAGCCUGCAUUCGAUACUGGGCGGCUAGAGUCUGGUAGGGGGAUCUGGAAUUCCUGGUGUAGCGGUGGAAUGCGCAGAUAUCAGGAGGAACACCGGUGGCGAAGGCGGGAUCCUGGGCCAGUACUGACGCUGAGGAGCGAAAGCGUGGGGAGCGAUCCGG
rnacentral:rRNA from 1 species